GCCUAUUUUUACAAAAACGUCUGCUACGGAGCCAUAACGUGAGGUACAAGGGUGUAAUCAGUAAAUACAGCCCGAAUAGUUCAGGAACUGAUGGAUACUGGAUCGGCCUGAGAGCUGAAGGUGGGAGAUGGAAGUGGAUUGAUGGAAGUGAUCCAACUGUAAAUCACUGGACACAACAAAAUCCUCCUACUGACGGUCAGUGUGUAAUGUCUGUCCAUGAGGAAGAAUGGAGAACAAUGAGCUGUGCUGAGAAAAAACGAUGGAUCUGCAAAAUGAAGGCUUUAUCUGUUUAAACACUGCAGUCAGACUCUGCAUGAUAAUAUCAACUGGCAUAUAGCCAGUGGCAUAUAUAUAUCAAACGUGUGUUUGUGCUCUGUGUGUUUCUCUCUGCAUCUUGGUUAGAGAUGCAGUGAUUAAAUGCUUCAUACCGGAUUGAUGAAAGGGAACAACUUCCUCCGUUUUCUGUUUCCUCUUGUCAUUUUAAAUUGUUGCAGCAGGGGGCGCUGCAUCACUUGUUCUCAACAGAAUGUUUUUAAUCUUUUUUAAUCUUUUCUUAAAGCAUUUGUUUCCUGAUGUAAAGAAUAUUAAAAUG